CACCGGCUAACUCCGUGCCAGCAGCCGCGGUAAUACGGAGGGUGCAAGCGUUAAUCGGAAUUACUGGGCGUAAAGGGUGCGUAGGUGGUUGAUUAAGUUAUCUGUGAAAUUCCUGGGCUUAACCUGGGACGGUCAGAUAAUACUGGUUGACUCGAGUAUGGGAGAGGGUAGUGGAAUUUCCGGUGUAGCGGUGAAAUGCGUAGAGAUCGGAAGGAACACCAGUGGCGAAGGCGGCUACCUGGCCUAAUACUGACACUGAGGCACGAAAGCGUGGGGAGCAAACAGGAU
rnacentral:rRNA from 1 species